rnacentral:rRNA from 1 species
UACGGAGGGUGCAAGCGUUAUCCGGAUUUACUGGGUUUAAAGGGUGCGUAGGUGGGCGAGUAAGUCAGUGGUGAAAUCUCCGGGCUUAACCCGGAAACUGCCAUUGAUACUAUUUGUCUUGAAUACUUUGGAGGUAAGCGGAAUAUGUCAUGUAGCGGUGAAAUGCUUAGAUAUGACCCAGAACACCAAUUGCGAAGGCAGCUCGCUAAGCCAUAACUGACGCUGAUGCACGAAAGCGUGGGGAGCAAACAGG